rnacentral:rRNA from 1 species
GAUGAACGCUGGCGGCGUGCUUAACACAUGCAAGUCGAACGGUGAACGAGGGAGCUUGCUCCCUCCGGAUCAGUGGCGAACGGGUGAGUAACACGUGAGCAAUCUGCCCUGGACUCUGGGAUAAGCGUUGGAAACGACGUCUAAUACCGGAUACGAGGCGUGGGGGCAUCCCCAACGCCUGGAAAGAACUUCGGUCCAGGAUGAGCUCGCGGCCUAUCAGCUUGUUGGUGAGGUAACGGCCCACCAAGGCGACGACGGGUAGCCGGCCUGAGAGGGUGACCGGCCACACUGGGACUGAGACACGGCCCAGACGCCUACGGGAGGCAGCAGUGGGGAAUAUUGCACAAUGGGCGCAAGCCUGAUGCAGCGACGCCGCGUGAGGGACGACGGCCUUCGGAUUGUAAACCUCUUUUAGCAGGGAAGAAGCGAAAGUGACGGUACCUGCAGAAAAAGCACCGGCUAACUACGUGCCAGCAGCCGCCGCAGUAA